UGACCCUACGGGGGGCAGCAGUGAGGAAUAUUGGUCAAUGGGCGCGAGCCUGAACCAGCCAAGUCGCGUGAGGGAGGACGGCCCUACGGGUUGUAAACCUCUUUUGCCGGGGAGCAACGGGCGUCACGUGUGGCGCCACUGAGAGUACCCGGAGAAAAAGCAUCGGCUAACUCCGUGCCAGCAGCCGCGGUAAUACGUAGGGGGCAAGCGUUAUCCGGAUUCACUGGGUGUAAAGGGAGCGUAGACGGCCAUGCAAGCCUGGAGUGAAAGCCCGGGGCCCAACCCCGGGACUGCUCUGGGAACUG
rnacentral:rRNA from 1 species